rnacentral:rRNA from 1 species
GACGAACGCUGGCGGCGUGCCUAAUACAUGCAAGUCGAACGCAGUGGGGACGGGUGAGUAACACGUGGGUAACCUCCCAUCAGAGGGGAUAACACUUGGAAACAGGUGCUAAACCGAUACUGAUGGAUGGACCUGCGGUGCAUUAGCUAGUUGGUGAGGUAACGGCUCAACAAGGCCACGAUGCACAGCCGGCCGGUGCGGGUGAUCGGCCAAACUGGGACUGAGAAACGGCCCAGACUCAUACGGGAGGCAGAAGUGGGGAAUCUUCGGCAAUGGACGAAAGUCUGACCGAGCAACGCCGCGUGAGUGAAGAAGGUUUUCGGAUCGUAAAACUCUGUUGUUAGAGAAGAGGUAUCUAACCAGAAAGCCACGGCUAACUACGUGCCAGCCGCCGCGGUAAUUC